rnacentral:rRNA from 1 species
UGGGGAAUAUUGCACAAUGGGGGAAACCCUGAUGCAGCGACGCCGCGUGAAGGAAGAAGUAUUUCGGUANGUAAACUUCUAUCAGCAGGGAAGAAAAUGACGGUACCUGACUAAGAAGCCCCGGCUAACUACGUGCC